rnacentral:rRNA from 1 species
AGAGUUUGAUCCUGGCUCAGAUUGAACGCUGGCGGCAGGCCUAACACAUGCAAGUCGAGCGGAUGAAGAGAGCUUGCUCUCUGAUUCAGCGGCGGACGGGUGAGUAAUGCCUAGGAAUCUGCCUGGUAGUGGGGGACAACGUUUCGAAAGGAACGCUAAUACCGCAUACGUCCUACGGGAGAAAGCAGGGGACCUUCGGGCCUUGCGCUAUCAGAUGAGCCUAGGUCGGAUUAGCUAGUUGGUGAGGUAAAGGCUCACCAAGGCGACGAUCCGUAACUGGUCUGAGAGGAUGAUCAGUCACACUGGAACUGAGACACGGUCCAGACUCCUACGGGAGGCAGCAGUGGGGAAUAUUGGACAAUGGGCGAAAGCCUGAUCCAGCCAUGCCGCGUGUGUGAAGAAGGUCUUCGGAUUGUAAAGCACUUUAAGUUGGGAGGAAGGGCAGUAAGUUAAUACCUUGCUGUUUUGACGUUACCGACAGAAUAAGCACCGGCUAACUUCGUGCCAGCAGCCGCGGUAAUACGAAGGGUGCAAGCGUUAAUCGGAAUUACUGGGCGUAAAGCGCGCGUAGGUGGUUCGUUAAGUUGGAUGUGAAAGCCCCGGGCUCAACCUGGGAACUGCAUCCAAAACUGGCGAGCUAGAGUAUGGCAGAGGGUGGUGGAAUUUCCUGUGUAGCGGUGAAAUGCGUAGAUAUAGGAAGGAACACCAGUGGCGAAAGGCGACCAC